GACGAAGGGGGCUAGCGUUGUUCGGAAUUACUGGGCGUAAAGCGCGUGUAGGUGGUUGUCAUAGUCAGGCGUGAAAGCCUUGAGCUCAACUCAAGAAAUGCGCUUGAUACUGGGCAGCUAGAGGACCGGAGAGGAUAGUGGAAUUCCCAGUGUAGUGGUGAAAUACGUAGAGAUUGGGAAGAACACCGGUGGCGAAAGCGCUCUGCUGGACCACAACUGACACUCACAGGACGAAAGCUAGGGGAGCGAAAGGG
rnacentral:rRNA from 1 species